AUUGAACGCUGGCGGCAGGCUUAACACAUGCAAGUCGAUCGGAGAUGAGGUGCUUGCACCUUAUCUUAGCGGCGGACGGGUGAGUAAUGCUUAGGAAUCUGCCUAUUAGUGGGGGACGACAUUCCGAAAGGAAUGCUAAUACCGCAUACGCCCUACGGGGGAAAGCAGGAGAUCUUCGGACCUUGCGCUAAUAGAUGAGCCUAAGUCGGAUUAGCUAGUUGGUGGGGUAAAGGCCUACCAAGGCGACGAUCUGUAGCGGGUCUGAGAGGAUGAUCCGCCACACUGGGACUGAGACACGGCCCAGACUCCUACGGGAGGCAGCAGUGGGGAAUAUUGGACAAUGGGCGGAAGCCUGAUCCAGCCAUGCCGCGUGUGUGAAGAAGGCCUUUUGGUUGUAAAGCACUUUAAGCGAGGAGGAGGCUACCUGGAUUAAUACUCUAGGAUAGUGGACGUUACUCGCAGAAUAAGCACCGGCUAACUCUGUGCCAGCCGCCGCCGUAAUAC
rnacentral:rRNA from 1 species